UCCAGCUUAUCGCUGGCGGUCUCCUGCGAGUUGCGCCUUGCGGCAUGCCAACACAGGACAAGGGUUGCGCUCGUUGCGGGACUUAACCCAACAUCUCACGACACGAGCUGACGACAGCCAUGCACCACCUGUGAUCCUGCCCACAAGGGGAAACCGUGUUUCCACGGCGGUCAGGAACAUGUCAAACCCAGGUAAGGUUCUUCGCGUUGCGUCGAAUUAAACCACAUGCUCCGCUGCUUGUGCGGGUCCCCGUCAAUUCCUUUGAGUUUUAGCCUUGCGGCCGUACUCCCCAGGCGGGGUGCUUAUCGCGUUAGCUUCGGCACAGCCGGAUUGGGUACCGGCCACACCAAAUAUGCAUCGUUUAGGGCGGGGACUAC
rnacentral:misc_RNA from 1 species